rnacentral:piRNA from 1 species
UCGCCAGCAUCUAAGUUCAAUUUGUUGCC